rnacentral:tRNA from 1 species
CCUGGUAGCUCAGAUGGUAAAGUGUCUGCCUGCAAUGCAGAAGACCUGGGUUUGAUCCCUGGGUCAGGA